AUAAGAAAACAAUUGAAUGGAGUUUAAAAUUGCAGUUUUCCGAAUAUUUUAAAACAUCAAUUCUUGUUGCCUACACUUGUCCGUGCAAUAAUUUAUCAAUGUUAGAAAACAGCAUUUUUUUAAAUAAUUUACUUAAAUUUUUUCUAUAACCCAAAUUGAUUUAUCUGUCCCUAAGAAUUAACGUGAUGUGACGCUUUACUAAUUGUUUUGUUAUUUUAAAAUACGUAUUUAUUCGUUUUUGGUCUUGUCACAUUGUAAAAAAUAUUAUUACUGAACACUGAAUGGAAGGCUAGUGUAUAAAAAAAUCUUGUAUUGAUAUUAUCUAGUUGCAAAUGAGUAUUUUUCAAAUAAAACAUGUGUAUUCGUUGCAUUCGCAUGUGCAAAGUUACACCUAUUCGUGACAACUAGAUUGGUUGUAACUGAUAUAAAAACUAUGAUUUUUAUAGUUUUACUGCAAUUCCUCAUUAGAAAACCAACAAUUUAACAAUGUUUAUUCUAACAUUUUUUGCUUUGAUAAUUCUUGUGGUCCCAUCGCUACAGUUGGGGCCGUCAAUGGGUCCUGUGGGUAGAAUAGACUUUAAAAAAAUCCAAGAAUGUCCAAAAUUUAGUGGACAAUUAAAAGUGCAAUUAAAUAAAAAUUCUAAAGGGCAGAAAGUAUUUAAUUGUCAACUCAAUCUAGCAGAAGAAUAUAACAACAAAUUUACGUUUGCAGUUAGGGUUCACAAGUGGACAGGAUCGGAAUAUAAAAAGGACAUGAUGAAGUACGAGGGCGGAAUGUGUGAUUACGUCAAUAAGUUUUUGCCUACUGUGCGUGAGAAACUUUACAAAGCAGCGAAAGUGACUGGUAACUGCGUAGUCAAAAAAGGCAAGUACGACAUGAAAGACGUCUACGCCACUGAAGGAGAUCUCAAAUUGCCUGCGAUACCUUAUGGCACUUUCCAGUUAGAAGUUGAACUGUUCAAUAGCAAGAAAGUUAAAAUUGUAUGCCUGUUAAUAGAUGUUGACUCAGUUGCUCGAUAAUUGCUUGGAUAUGUUUGUAAACAUUGCAUAUGUAUUCACAUAAAUAAUGAUAAAUUUGAAUCAUUUCUCUGAAACUUA